GUGCUUGCUUCGGCAGCACAUAUACUAAAAUUGGGACGAUACAGAGAAGAUUAGCAUGGCUCCUGCGCAAGGAUGACACGCAAAUUCGUGAAGCAUUUCAAAGGGGA
rnacentral:snRNA from 1 species